rnacentral:rRNA from 1 species
GACGAACGCUGGCGGCGUGCCUAAUACAUGCAAGUUGAGCGAUGAAGAUUGGUGCUUGCCCCAAUUUGAAGAGCAGCGAACGGGUGAGUAACGCGUGGGGAAUCUGCCUUUGAGCGGGGGACAACAUUUGGAAACGAAUGCUAAUACCGCAUAACAACUUUAAACAUAAGUUUUAAGUUUGAAAGAUGCAAUUGCAUCACUCAAAGAUGAUCCCGCGUUGUAUUAGCUAGUUGGUGAGGUAAAGGCUCACCAAGGCGAUGAUACAUAGCCGACCUGAGAGGGUGAUCGGCCACAUUGGGACUGAGACACGGCCCAAACUCCUACGGGAGGCAGCAGUAGGGAAUCUUCGGCAAUGGACGAAAGUCUGACCGAGCAACGCCGCGUGAGUGAAGAAGGUGUUCGGAUCGUAAAACUCUGUUGGUAGAGAAGAACGUUGGUGAGAGUGGAAAGCUCAUCAAGUGACGGUAACUACCCAGAAAGGGACGGCUAACUACGU